GUGCUUGCUUUGGCAGCACAUAUACUAAAAUGGGAAUGAUACAGAGAAGAUUAGCAUGGUCCCUGCACUAGGAUUACACACAAAUUCCUGAAACAUUCCGUAUUAUA
ensembl:snRNA U6 U6 spliceosomal RNA